rnacentral:rRNA from 1 species
CCUACGGGUGGCAGCAGUAGGGAAUCUUCCACAAUGGGCGAAAGCCUGAUGGAGCAACGCCGCGUGGGUGAAGAAGGUCUUCGGAUCGUAAAACCCUGUUGUUAGAGAAGAAAGUGCGUGAGAGUAACUGUUAACGUUUCGACGGUAUCUAACCAGAACGCCACGGCUAACUACGUGCCAGCAGCCGCGGUAAUGCGUAGGUGGCAAGCGUUAUCCGGAUUUAUUGGGCGUAAAGGGAACGUAGGCGGGCUGUUAAGUCUGAUGUGAAAGCCUUCGGCUUAACCGGAGUAGUGCAUUGGAAACUGGGAGACUUGAGUGCAGAAGAGGCGAGUGGAACUCCAGGUGUAGCGGUGAAAUGCGUAGAUAUAUGGAAGAACACCAGUGGCGAAAGCGGCUUUCUGGUCUGUAACUGACGCUGAGGUUCGAAAGCGUGGGUAGCAAACAGGAUUAGAUACCCCAGUAGUC